GCCCACUGUUGUCAAGGCAAUAGAUGGCUCUUCCUAAUCUGACAACAAGGACUAUUGCUAAAGGCACCUACAUAACACAUUGAACAUGGGUGUACCACUUUCAGGCAGCUGAAGAUCUGAGUACAACAAAAUGACAUCACCCUUCUGAAUAAAAGGCUGUGCCCUGUCUGACCACCUUCAAGCUGAGGAAUGGUAGUUGAAGAUGUCUGGAGAGUUUUGAUGAGCAAGCAUCAUAGGAGAUAUCUGGAGUUUAUUGUGUGAAGGAACUAUGUACUGCCAUGUAUGUCAGUGCAUAGUCAGAUCUUCACCAACAACCAAUGAACUUAAAACACCACAAACCAUGGGCAAAAACAUUAUUCAAGGGUAAUUUUGAAAAUAUACUAAUCUUCACGAGUCCUGAAUACCUUGGAGUGUCCUGAAAGGACACCCACAUUCUAUAGUUCAUUUGCAUGUUCAUUAAAAAUGUGAACUCUA